rnacentral:rRNA from 1 species
UACGAAGGGGGCUAGCGUUGUUCGGAUUUACUGGGCGUAAAGCGCACGUAGGCGGAUCGUUAAGUCAGGGGUGAAAUCCUGGAGCUCAACUCUGGAACUGCCUUUGAUACUGGGUGUCUUGAGUAUGGAAGAGGUGAGUGGAAUUCCGAGUGUAGAGGUGAAAUUCGUAGAUAUUCGGAGGAACACCAGUGGCGAAGGCGGCUCACUGGUCCAUUACUGACGCUGAGGUGCGAAAGCGUGGGGAGCAAACAGG